rnacentral:piRNA from 1 species
UAAUGGAUGCAAGCUAAACAGAC